rnacentral:rRNA from 1 species
UACGUAGGCAGCGAGCGUUGUUCGGAAUUACUGGGCGUAAAGAGUGUGUAGGCGGUGUUCCCAGUCUGUUGUGAAAUCUCCCGGCUUAACUGGGAGGGUGCAGCGGAAACUAGAAUGCUAGAGGGUGGGAGAGGUAAGCGGAAUUCCUGGUGUAGCGGUGAAAUGCGUAGAUAUCAGGAGGAACACCUGUGGUGUAGACGGCUCUCUGGACCGCAACUGACGCUGAGACACGAAAGCGUGGGUAGCAAACAGG